rnacentral:rRNA from 1 species
CAGUAGCCGCGGUAAUACGGAGGGGGCUAGCGUUGUUCGGAAUUACUGGGUGUAAAGCGCACGUAGGCGGCUUGGUAAGUUAGAGGUGAAAGCCCGGAGCUCAACUCCGGAAUUGCCUUUAAGACUGCCGAGCUAGUAGGUGAGAGAGGUAAGUGGAAUUCCGAGUGUAGAGGUGAAAUCCGUAGAUAUUCGGAAGAACACCAGUGGCGAAGGCGGCUUACUGGCUCAUUCUAGACGCUGAGGUGCGAAAGCGUGGGGAGCAAACAGGAUUAGAUACCCCCGUAGUCCCUGUCUCUUAUAC